ACCUGCCUGGUGUCAGCAAAGGUCACCAUGGUGACCUGAGCUGGCAUCACCCGUUGGGCUUAGAUCAGCAAGAAGCUGCAGACUUGAGCAAUGUAUAUCCGUUGUCAUAACAUUACUGUCCGAAUUAUCUUUUAAAUUCACUUGUUGCAUUUCAGUAAAGUUAUAAGACUAACU